GAGGGAGAAAGCCGCAAGGUGAGUAAACCGGCGAACGGGUGCGUAACACGUGGACAACCUACCUUCUUGACUGGGAUAACUGGCCGAAAGGCUUGCUAAUACCAGAUAAGCCCACGUCCUCUAAGGAGGAAGAGGGAAAAUGGCGGCCUCUGUAAACAAGCUGUCACAAGAAGAUGGGUCCGCGGCCCAUCAGCUAGUUGGCGGGGUAACGGCCCACCAAGGCGACGACGGGUAGCUGGUCUGAGAGGAUGAUCAGCCACACUGGGACUGAGACACGGCCCAGACUCCUACGGGAGGCAGCAGUGGGGAAUAUUGGACAAUGGGCGAAAGCCUGAUCCAGCCAUGCCGCGUGAGUGAAGAAGGCCUUCGGGUUGUAAAGCU
rnacentral:rRNA from 1 species